ensembl:lncRNA
GUUAGCAAACCACAUCUUUGGAAGCUUUAAGAUUAAAAAGUGAGAGAGGAAAAACUAGAAGGAGACACAAAAAGUAACCCUCUCAGGAGAGACCAGCAAAGGCCCAGCAGGGGAAAGACCUCACUUUUCAUCAGAAUACAUGCUUGUGGCAGAGCUCUCACUGGCAAAUUUCCCUGUACUAAUCUUGAAGAAGGAUCGAGGUAAGUAGCAUAUCAUCACAGAGGCAGGAGUCCUUCAGUCAAGGCAGGGUGUCUAUCAAAUACCUCCAGUAAACACCCUGCCAGGCAAGACUCAAAACUUGAUGUGUUACUAAACCAAAUCAAAGUUAUUUAUAACUUACCAAGUGCUAUUUUAUAAUCAUUUAAAGUAUUAAAUUACCUCUACCACCAUCAUCACACAUAGGACUAACACAGAAACAUGAAGAAAAUGGUUUGAAUCUUGUUUGAAAAAUUAACACGAUGAUAACCAUUUCAUAAAAUUGUCAUCAGAAAAUGACUAGGAAGGAAGAAGUCUGUGUACCUGUGUAUUUCAUUCUAUACAUUUUAAUUUGCAUUGGUAUAUAAACAUGCCAAAAAGUGCAAUUUUAUCAAUUAUCAAAGAUUUACUAAAAAAUGAGUAUGUGAUGACAACCUAGGUCAAGAAAACCCCCUCUAGGAAGUCCCUCUUGUAGCUCAGUGGUAAUGAACCUAUGAUCCAAGAGGAUGCAGUUUUGAUCCCUGGCCUUGAUCAGUGGGUUAAGAAUCCAGCUUUGCCAUGAGCUGUGAUGUAGGUCUAGGCUGGCAGCCGUAGCUCCAGUUCGACC